UGCACACAGCCUCUCCUGCUCUGAGAGACUGUUACAAGAGAUGGAGCCCAAUAUCAUGGACCAGAUGAACUCACCAGCUCUAUAGGGAUUGGUCCAUGCACUAAGGAAUGAUAUCUUCCUUUUUGUGUGUGUGGCGGUAUAUAUAUGUAUAAGAGUGAUGGUAUAUUGAAAAUGUGGGAUCUGAGCAUGACGUGAAUGGUAUGGAAUAAGGGGUGGAUAAUGUCCUGGGUUUAGCACAGUAAGUCAUUUUUCUCCUUCUUAGUAGCUGGUGCAGUGCUGUGGUUUUGACUUUCACCCUGGGAACAGCGCUGAUAACACCGAUGUUUUCAGUUGUUGCUCAGUAAUGUUUACCCUGACCAAGGACUUUCUGAGUCUCAUGCUCUGCCAGGGAGGAGGGGAAGCUGGGAGGAAGCAGAGACAGGACACCUGACCCAAACUGACCAAAGAGGUAUUCCAUACCACAGCACAUCAUGCCCAGGAUGUAAACUGGGGGCAGUUACCCGGAAGGGUGAGAUCACUGCUCGGAUUGGGCUGGGUAUUGGUCGGCAGGUAGUGAGCGGUUGUAUUCUCUUCCCUUGUUAUUUCCC